rnacentral:rRNA from 1 species
AACGAACGCUGGCGGCAUGCCUAACACAUGCAAGUCGAACGAGACCUUCGGGUCUAGUGGCGCACGGGUGCGUAACGCGUGGGAACCUGCCCUUAGGUUCGGAAUAACUCCCCGAAAGGGGUGCUAAUACCGGAUAAUGUCUUCGGACCAAAGAUUUAUCGCCUUUGGAUGGGCCCGCGUUGGUUUAGCUAGUUGGUAGGGUAAAAGCCUACCAAGGCGACGAUCCAUAGCUGGUCUGAGAGGAUGAUCAGCCACACUGGGACUGAGACACGGCCCAGACUCCUACGGGAGGCAGCAGUGGGGAAUAUUGGACAAUGGGCGAAAGCCUGAUCCAGCAAUGCGGCGUGAGUGAUGAAGGCCUUAGGGUUGUAAAGCUCUUUUACACGGGAUGAUAAUGACAGUACCGGGAGAAUAAGCUCCGGCUAACUCCGUG